rnacentral:rRNA from 1 species
AACGAACGCUGGCGGCAUGCCUAACACAUGCAAGUCGAGCGGGGUUUUCGGACCUAGCGGCGGACGGGUGAGUAAUGCGUAGGAAGCUACCCGAUAGAGGGGGAUACCAGUUGGAAACGACUGUUAAUACCGCAUAAUGUCUACGGACCAAAGUGUGGGACCUUCGGGCCACAUGCUAUCGGAUGCGCCUACGUGGGAUUAGCUAGUUGGUGGGGUAAUGGCUCACCAAGGCGACGAUCCCUAGCUGGUUUGAGAGGAUGAUCAGCCCACACUGGAACUGAGACACGGUCCAGACUCCUACGGGAGGCAGCAGUGGGAAUAUUCGGACAAGUGGGACGAAAGCCUGAUCCAGCCAUGCCGCGUGUGUGAAGAAGGUCUUCGGAUUGUAAAGC